rnacentral:rRNA from 1 species
GUUACUUCGGUACAUCGGUGACAGGUGGUGCAUGGUUGUCGUCAGCUCGUGUCGUGAGAUGUUGGGUUAAGUCCCGCAACGAGCGCAACCCCUAUUGUUAGUUGCCAUCAUUCAGUUGGGCACUCUAGCGAGACUGCCCGGUAAUAAACCGGAGGAAGGUGGGAUGACGUCAAAUCAUCAUGCCCCUUAUGACCUGGGCUACACACGUGCUACAAUGGUUGGUACAACGAGUUGCGAGUCGGUGACGGCGAGCUAAUCUCUUAAAGCCAAUCUCAGUUCGGAUUGUAGGCUGCAACUCGCCUACAUGAAGUCGGAAUCGCUAGUAAUCGCGGAUCAGCACGCCGCGGUGAAUACGUUCCCGGGCCUU